CACACGUACUCAUGUCGUGGCCGUGACACUCACCUCCGCCGGCCGCGCCACCGUCGCAUCCGCCCCGCUCCGCCGUCCGCGACGCGCCUCCCCGCUGGCCCUCUCGCCCUGCUGGGCCACCCACGGCCGGCCUCCCUCACCGCGCCUCCCUCGCCUCCGCCCGCUCCGCCGUCCCCGACGCGCCUCCCCUCCGCUCUCCGACGCACACUCCUCAUCUCCGCCUCAACCGCACUGGGAGGCGCCCGUUCUCGGUGGUCCGCGCGGCUGAGACUGACGCUAAAGACGCCAAGCCCAAGGCACCGGAGAAGGCGCCGGCGGCGGGCGGGUCCAGCUUCAACCAGCUGCUCGGCAUCAAGGGCGCCAAGCAGGAGACCGACAUUUGGAAGAUACGUCUUCAACUUACUAAACCAGUGACAUGGCAUCCGCUUGUCUGGGGAGUUCUCUGUGGAGCAGCUGCCUCUGGUCCAUCCUUUUUUCUGAACCAUCCACUAACUUUGGUACAAGGGCAAUCAAAUCUUGCUGGAGCUCUUUUGGAGCUUUCUUUAGGACAAGUGCAAUCUUCUGGAUAUGGGUUAAAAUUCCAGAAGUUCUAGUUCGAGAUCGGGUUCGGAGCUCAUUUUCUAUCGGAGCUCGUGCAGUAGCCUGUCGCUCUUCUAUUCACCUCUGCACAAGAGGGAUUAUUCUCCUAUCUCCUUUGCGACUGUGCGUGCUUCAGCGCCUGCUCGGCCACCAGGUCGCCGCGCCCGCCGCGUGCUCGAGCAAAAGCCUCCGGCGCCGUCCAGCCGCCCUGUGCCCGGCCGCACAAACAGUUCCUUUUUUCUUUUAUUUAGUCUUUUCGCUUCUGGGGUCUUAAUUAUUUCUGUGUUCAUGAGUUAAGUAACUUCUAUAUUGUGAGCUGAGUAUAGUGAUUCGCUUUAUCCUUAUUAUCCACUGCUAAAAUUGUCAUUGUUGCUAACUGCGUCCACUCAAGAAUCACAAGGCCUGGCUUGUUGAUAAUUUAA